rnacentral:rRNA from 1 species
UACGUAGGGAGCAAGCGUUAUCCGGAAUUAUUGGGCGUAAAGAGCUCGUAGGCGGUGUGUCGCGUCGGCCGUGAAAACCUGCAGCUUAACUGUGGGCUUGCGGUCGAUACGGGCAUCACUGGAGUUCGGCAGGGGAGACUGGAAUUCCUGGUGUAGCGGUGAAAUGCGCAGAUAUCAGGAGGAACACCAGUGGCGAAGGCGGCUCACUGGUCCGGUACUGACGCUGAUGUGCGAAAGCGUGGGGAGCAAACAGG